GGGAGGUGAUAACACAGCAAAAUGCAAAUUUGAAGAAGCACCCAUAAAAGGUGCCCCGGCU
rnacentral:tRNA from 1 species